GUCUCAUUCAAAAGAACUCUUAAAAUUAUAUAUUAAACUCCAUUACCGAUUUGUCAUAUCUUGCUUAGUUCUCGAAACUAUUUAGACCGAAAUUAAUGAGCUGUCGGCCAUCUUGGACUAAUUCUUGACCUCAUUAACUAUGGUUUUGAUGACGUCAGGAGUUGGGUUAACCAUAUAGAACUGCUCUAUAAAUGACCGAGUAACAAUCCAAAAUUGUUUGAAAUGUUUUUAAUAAUUUCUAAAGUUCAGACAGCAACCAGAAACGAAGUUUUGGACCCAUAUUGAUCGCUUACUCUCAAGAUAAAAAAAUAGCGUGACCCCUCUCUUGACGUAACAUGCAUAUCCUCAAUAAUCCAAGAUGGCGAACAACUCACUUUUUUCAGUCGAAAUAUUUUGAAAACUAAGCAAGAUAUAAACAAUCUAUAAUAGAGUUUAAUAUAUAGUUUUAAGAGUUCUUUCAAAUGAACUAAACUAAUUUUUUAUUGCCAACGUCCUUUAUAUUAAAAAAUACAUUCCCUUAAUUAAGUGUACCUUUCUUUACUUUGCUUUACAC